AAGUGAGAUUUGGGGGCUUAAUUGUUAAUUUUCAUGUAACAAUAUUUCUAUUCUAGAGACUGAUUCCUGGAAAAUGAGAGCUUUCCAAAGAGAUCUAAAGAACAGCUAAUAGCUCCUUCCCUCCGGAUUUCAUUCUGUUUAUAAAUAUUGAAGCUGAAAUGUAAACCACUUUGAAACUCUUCUCCUGAAGGCCUGCAUGUCCUGGACGCUUUUCAAGCACAGACCAAGGCAACUGGGGAAAUAGCAGGAAGCUCUCCUUUUCAUGAUUCCUCUUCCUGCGACCGAAGGCACGACUGGAAAACAAUGCAACCACGACUUGAGAGCUGGAAGAAAGGGGCAGCCUUGAAGGUGAGCAGAGGGGAAAAGAGGCUGGGGAGGAAGUGGAAACAAAGGUAGUCAAAGG
rnacentral:lncRNA from 1 species